UUUUCUCUGACUCUAAAGUCCUUAUGAUAAACAAUUUCAUAAAACAUAUGAAUGAGGACUAAUCUCUGAUUUUUUUUUUUAUCUUGCCCAAAUUCAUAUCUAAAGGGUCUGGGGAGUCCUGCCCUACAAACCACAAAUUCUCAUCAGAUGGGUUUUAUUUAACCCUGUAUAUUAUGACUUACUUUCCCAUGUGACUCUGGCAUAAGGAGGAAGAAAAUCAAAAUGUUUUACCCCAAAACAUGUCUCUCUGCCAUAUCUUGAAAUUGCCCUACAAAGUUUCUUGUGGGAAAAAUCCGCAUUCUAUAGAGAAUCUCCUUUCCCCUUUCCAGAUCCAGGAGAUAAUCAACUAAGAGCCAGGCACUCUUUUAAGUCUGAUAAGACACAUUUUAUAACCUGCUCUCUCUGCAGUCCGCUGAGAGUUUCCUCCGCACAAUAAAACUUAGUCUCCACAUCCUUUAUCUUAACCUAAACAUUUCUUUUCUAUUGAUCCCAG
rnacentral:lncRNA from 10 species